UACGAAGGGGGCUAGCGUUGUUCGGAAUCACUGGGCGUAAAGCGCACGUAGGCGGAUUGUUAAGUCGGGGGUGAAAUCCUGGAGCUCAACUCCAGAACUGCCUUCGAUACUGGGAGUCUCGAGUUCGGGAGAGGUGAGUGGAACUGCGAGUGUAGAGGUGAAAUUCGUAGAUAUUCGCAAGAACACCAGUGGCGAAGGCGGCUCACUGGCCCGAUACUGACGCUGAGGUGCGAAAGCGUGGGGAGCAAACAGG
rnacentral:rRNA from 1 species